rnacentral:rRNA from 1 species
UUCCGGUUGAUCCUGCCGAAGGCUACUGCUAUUGGAGUUCGAUUAAGCCAUGCGAGUCUAAGGGACUUCGGUCCCUGGCAUAAUGCUCAGUAACAAGUGGAUAAUCUGCCCUUAGGUGAGGAAUAAACCCGGGAAACUGGGGCUAAUACCUCAUAGACACAAGAAGCUGGAAUGCUCCUGUGUCCAAAGCUCCGGCGCCUAAGGAUGAGUCUGCUUCCUAUCAGGUUGUAGUCAGGGUCAAGACCUGACUAGCCAGCGACGGGUACGGGGUGUGAGAGCACUUGCCCGGAGAUGGUUUCUGAGACACGAAACCAGGCCCUACGGGGCGCAGCAGGCGCGAAAACUUCGCAAUGCGGGAAACCGUGACGAGGGAACUCCAAGUGUCUAUGCAUUGCAUAGACUGUUUUUCAGCCUAAAUAGCUGUUAGAGUAAGAGGUGGGCAAGACCGGUGCCAGCCGCCGCGGUAACACCGGCACCUCAAGUGGUAGCCACUAUUAUUGGGCCUAAAGCGUUCGUAGCCGGUUUGGUAAAUUCUUGGGUAAAUCGUACAGCUUAACUGUGCGGAUUCCGGGGACACUACCAGACUUGAGACCGGGGGAGAUCAGAGGUACUUGUAGGGGAGCGGUGAAAUGUUGUAAUCCUACAGGGACCACCAGUGGCGAAGGCGUCUGAUCAUAACGGCUUUGACGGUGAGGAACGAAACCCUGGGGCGCAAACGGGAUUAGAUACCCCGGUAGUCCAGGGCGUAAACGCUGCUGACUUGGUGUUGGAGAUCCUACGAGGGUGUCCAGUGCUGGCGCGAAGGUAUUUAGUCAGCCGCCUGGGGAGUACGGUCGCAAGACUGAAACUUAAAGGAAUUGGCGGGGGAGCACUGCAACGUGUGGAGCGUGCGGUUUAAUUGGAUUCAACGCCGG